AGAGCGAACGCUGGCGGCAGGCUUAACACAUACAAGUCGAGCGGGCGUAGCAAUACGUCAGCGGCAGACGGGUGAGUAACGCGUGGGAACGUACCUUUUGGUUCGGAACAACACAGGGAAACUUGUGCUAAUACCGGAUAAGCCCUUACGGGGAAAGAUUUAUCGCCGAAAGAUCGGCCCGCGUCUGAUUAGCUAGUUGGUGAGGUAACGGCUCACCAAGGCGACGAUCAGUAGCUGGUCUGAGAGGAUGAUCAGCCACAUUGGGACUGAGACACGGCCCAAACUCCUACGGGAGGCAGCAGUGGGGAAUAUUGGACAAUGGGCGCAAGCCUGAUCCAGCCAUGCCGCGUGAGUGAUGAAGGCCCUAGGGUUGUAAAGCUCUUUUGUGCGGGAAGAUAAUGACGGUACCGCAAGAUAACGCCCGGCUAACUUCGUGCCAGCAGCCGC
rnacentral:rRNA from 1 species